UCCGUGGUAGCUCAGUUGGUAAAGCAGUUGCCCGCCGAGCGAGAGGUCACGGAUUCGUGUCCCGUUCAAGGAU
rnacentral:tRNA from 1 species